UUUCUGGAUUCUUCUUGAAACUGUAAGUCGAGAAAAGGCAUAUAUGCCACCGAUUUCCGCUCGAUGGCCACUGAGGUCCUUUGAUUGUAUGGAUUUAGAUGCAACAAUCUCUCGAGUGCAAUCUUCAAUGGCGCACAUUAUUUUAGCUUGAUCUUAAAUUUACUGCUUUUUUCGGCCUAGCUACCAAUAUACCAAUAGAAUUUUAUGAAAUUGAUUAACAUUAAUUUAUUUACAAAUUAAUUAGGUAACAAUUUUCGUUUUUCUUUUAAAUACCACGAGAUCAACGGGGUCAAUGCCAAGGCCGAAGAGACAACUUAAACGGGCGGCUGCCCGUGAUACUCAAGACCCAGGACAAGCACGCAGGCCAGGCCGGCGCAGGGCUCAACGCCAACAGACCAACAAUAACGAACAAGAUGUCCAGGCUCAACUGGCACCCCUCAGCCCCAGGCAGUCCAACUACCCCAGACAGCCCCACAGCAUCAGGCGGCACUGUUACAACAGGCAGCCCCACCACAGCAAGCCCAGGAUCAGGCGGGUCAACCAUCAUAACAUUUGUGAUACCUUCAGUUCCGGUGGGACACCCACGUAAUCAUUGUGAUACCUGCAGCUCUGAACAAAAAAUCGUCGCAGUGACACUCGUUCUAUUCCUGACAUUGUCGUUUAUUUAUGGCGCUAUCGUCGCACCCCAACUCCAAUGGAAGAGUGCAAUCAUUCAAAUUAUCAUAGGAUACUGUUUUUUACUGUCAAUAUAAUGUGUUUAUAAUGCUGUUAAUGUGUUUAAAAUGCUGUGUAUCCAUGCUUGUGCAUUCGCGCACAUACUUGCUGCACAAGAACUUUGACAAUUUUAAUGUGUUUUGAACUUUGAAACUUGUGCAUUUGCGUUUACCCAUUCGCACAAACCUUGUGUAUAACUUUGUCAUUUGUAUGUCUGUGCAUUUGCACUUACCCACUGUACAGAAUAUUAUAUUUUGUGACGUUUGUGCAUUUGCGCUCAUCCACUGCGCAAUGAGCCUAUUGAUGGGCCGUCACGUAUUGUUGUAUUGUUUGAAUUGUUGUGAGGCAGCCCAUUGGUAGCCUAUUGGUAGCCUAAAAUCACUGCGGCCAGUAACGCCAAACCAUAAUAAAGUAUUUAGUCCU
rnacentral:sRNA from 1 species